ensembl:lncRNA
AUUAAGUCUUUGGUUAAAAUUAAGUGUCAGAAGUCUUUGACACAUCAAAGCCAACGAACGAGGAAAGUCUGAGAACUCUUGUGGUCAAGAGCAGACAAAGAAAUAUGGCACUGAAUGAGACAUAAGGCUCUGGAGCAGAGGGAGAAGGAUAAGAAAAAGGAAGGAAGAGAGCACAAUAUGGAAUUCAGCCAAAGUGAAUGGAUCAAUACUUGAUCAAUAAUCAGGAUGAAGUUAACAUGCCACAGUACUGUAAGAUAGCAUUGACCAGGGAAGCUAGCUAUGCCAUAUGGCAAACUCUACUUCAAGAUCACUGUGUGAAAUAGAGAGCUAGCUUUAAAAAUGUCACCGUCAGUAAUGAUAUAACACUGUUAAAUACUGAAAAUACUUGUAUUGUUUAUAGUUUCAUCUGCUGUGAUGGAAAAGGAUGUGAUUCUUUCGAAAUGAUGGUACUGACAAGAAGUACUGACCGGAGCCACAGUGGCGGGGCUGUCAUGGGGAUAACCAACUGGUUUCUGAUUGGAUCUGAGAGCUGACUCAUAGAAGAGAGUUCGUACCUGGUACUGGGGAGCGGUCAGAAGCCUAUGGCUGAGGAGGUCACAGAUACAAGGAUAAACCUACUACUUUUGGUUUGCCAAAUGCCAUAUUGUCACACUCUGCCUACUCAUGUUUAUAUCCGCAGAGUGCCGUCCUCAGCCUGAAUCAAAGGAACUUGUCUUUACAGAGAACCUCAUGCCUCAGGUGAUUCAGACACCCAUGGUUGUUCCAGGUACUGAAAGAAAAAAGUGGUUGUUAGGUGUUCAGUCUUAAACAGAUGUCCAUGUCACCCCAAGGCUCUCGGAACAUCACAGAAGAGUAGAAAGAAAGGAGGAGCUAGAAAACGUGGAAGAGGGCUAUGGAGUGUUGUCUCCUGCAUCAUAUGAGCAUGGUACUCAUAAACUCACAGCAGCUGCUGACCAAACCAGUAAACAUCCAGUCAUCAGUGGGAGCUAGCUCAUGAUCGAGCUCAUGGUGCUCGAUCGUGUCUAGGUUCUCUGAGGGAGAGAAACCACUGUCUUGUGUUGUAGUCACUGUGGGUUACUCCUAUCCGAGUGGACACUUCACACUCGUGCUCAGUAGAGCAGCCCUGGUUAAACCCAAGAGUCACAGAGCGAAGGACACAAAACAAAAAUAGGAGCCUAGCAUGGCGACUCACUGAGAGGCUUUACCCAGCAGCUGACUGAGACAGAUACAGAUACCCACAGACAAACAUUGGAUGGAGGUCAGGGAACCCUGUGAAAGAGUUAUGGGAAGAAUUGAAGGCCCUCAAGGAGAUGGCAACCCUACAGGAAGACCAACAGUGUCAACUAACCUGGACCCCUGGGAGCUCCGAGAGACUGAGCCAGGAACCAGAGAGUAUGUGUGGGCUGGUCUGAGACCCCUGCACAUAUGCAGCAGAGUGUUGCCUUGUUUGGCCUUAGUGGGAAAGGACAUACCUAAUCCUGCAGAGACUUGAUGCACCAUAGUGGGGGAAUACCAGCAUUAUCCUAAAACCGCAGGAAGGGGAUGAAAGAGAGCCAAGGAUCGACAUGACAGG